GUGUAAUCUUAGCUUUAUUGAAUAAGUAAGUAUGCAUUACAGAUAGAUUGCAAGUCAUUCUUGGUCCUGCAAAGAGACAGGCAUUUAUUGUGAGGCAAAAUGAGAACAUGAAUCCAUUGUUCUGCUACUGAAAUACUUCUACUGACUGUCUUGGUAUGGGCACAAUCUCCCUCAGCAUCCAUUCAAAUAGGCUUUCCUGUCACCUCUCCUUUCAGUUAAGGGAUUCACGAUAUCUAAAAUAAACUUAUAAAGAACACUUCUGUAUCAGAGGUAGCUUUAUACCUACAUUAUUAAUC
rnacentral:lncRNA from 1 species